rnacentral:rRNA from 1 species
CACUAACUGGAGGACCGAACCGACUAAUGUUGAAAAAUUAGCGGAUGACUUGUGGCUGGGGGUGAAAGGCCAAUCAAACCGGGAGAUAGCUGGUUCUCCCCGAAAGCUAUUUAGGUAGCGCCUCGUGAAUUCAUCUCCGGGGGUAGAGCACUGUUUCGGCAAGGGGGUCAUCCCGACUUACCAACCCGAUGCAAACUGCGAAUACCGGAGAAUGUUAUCACGGGAGACACACGGCGGGUGCUAACGUCCGUCGUGAAGAGGGAAACAACCCAGACCGCCAGCUAAGGUCCCAAAGUCAUGGUUAAGUGGGAAACGAUGUGGGAAGGCCCAGACAGCCAGGAUGUUGGCUUAGAAGCAGCCAUCAUUUAAAGAAAGCGUAAUAGCUCACUGGUCGAGUCGGCCUGCGCGGAAGAUGUAACGGGGCUAAACCAUGCACCGAAGCUGCGGCAGCGACGCUUAUGCGUUGUUGGGUAGGGGAGCGUUCUGUAAGCCUGUGAAGGUGUGCUGUGAGGUAUGCUGGAGGUAUCAGAAGUGCGAAUGCUGACAUAAGUAACGAUAAAGCGGGUGAAAAGCCCGCUCGCCGGAAGACCAAGGGUUCCUGUCCAACGUUAAUCGGGGCAGGGUGAGUCGACCCCUAAGGCGAGGCCGAAAGGCGUAGUCGAUGGGAAACAGGUUAAUAUUCCUGUACUUGGUGUUACUGCGAAGGGGGGACGGAGAAGGCUAUGUUGGCCGGGCGACGGUUGUCCCGGUUUAAGCGUGUAGGCUGGUUUUCCAGGCAAAUCCGGAAAAUCAAGGCCGAGGCGUGAUGACGAGGCACUACGGUGCUGAAGCAACAAAUGCCCUGCUUCCAGGAAAAGCCUCUAAGCAUCAGGUAACAUCAAAUCGUACCCCAAACCGACACAGGUGGUCAGGUAGAGAAUACCAAGGCGCUUGAGAGAACUCGGGUGAAGGAACUAGGCAAAAUGGUGCCGUAACUUCGGGAGAAGGCACGCUGAUACGUAGGUGAAGCGACUUGCUCGUGGAGCUGAAAUCAGUCGAAGAUACCAGCUGGCUGCAACUGUUUAUUAAAAACACAGCACUGUGCAAACACGAAAGUGGACGUAUACGGUGUGACGCCUGCCCGGUGCCGGAAGGUUAAUUGAUGGGGUUAGCGCAAGCGAAGCUCUUGAUCGAAGCCCCGGUAAACGGCGGCCGUAACUAUAACGGUCCUAAGGUAGCGAAAUUCCUUGUCGGGUAAGUUCCGACCUGCACGAAUGGCGUAAUGAUGGCCAGGCUGUCUCCACCCGAGACUCAGUGAAAUUGAACUCGCUGUGAAGAUGCAGUGUACCCGCGGCAAGACGGAAAGACCCCGUGAACCUUUACUAUAGCUUGACACUGAACAUUGAGCCUUGAUGUGUAGGAUAGGUGGGAGGCUUUGAAGUGUGGACGCCAGUCUGCAUGGAGCCGACCUUGAAAUACCACCCUUUAAUGUUUGAUGUUCUAACGUGGACCCGUGAUCCGGGUUGCGGACAGUGUCUGGUGGGUAGUUUGACUGGGGCGGUCUCCUCCUAAAGAGUAACGGAGGAGCACGAAGGUUGGCUAAUCCUGGUCGGACAUCAGGAGGUUAGUGCAAUGGCAUAAGCCAGCUUGACUGCGAGCGUGACGGCGCGAGCAGGUGCGAAAGCAGGUCAUAGUGAUCCGGUGGUUCUGAAUGGAAGGGCCAUCGCUCAACGGAUAAAAGGUACUCCGGGGAUAACAGGCUGAUACCGCCCAAGAGUUCAUAUCGACGGCGGUGUUUGGCACCUCGAUGUCGGCUCAUCACAUCCUGGGGCUGAAGUAGGUCCCAAGGGUAUGGCUGUUCGCCAUUUAAAGUGGUACGCGAGCUGGGUUUAGAACGUCGUGAGACAGUUCGGUCCCUAUCUGCCGUGGGCGCUGGAGAACUGAGGGGGGCUGCUCCUAGUACGAGAGGACCGGAGUGGACGCAUCACUGGUGUUCGGGUUGUCAUGCCAAUGGCACUGCCCGGUAGCUAAAUGCGGAAGAGAUAAGUGCUGAAAGCAUCUAAGCACGAAACUUGCCCCGAGAUGAGUUCUCCCUGACCCUUUAAGGGUCCUGAAGGAACGUUGAAGACGACGACGUUGAUAGGCCGGGUGUGUAAGCGCAGCGAUGCGUUGAGCUAACCGGUACUAAUGAACCGUGAGGCUUAACCUUACAACGCCGAAG